UGGUGACGUUAGCGGAGAGCUUCGAUUCGCUGAUUAAACAGGCGGCGCCCCAGAUCGUGAAAGCCAGAGUCCUAUAUAAUCCGUGUGCUGUUGUUAGCGGCAUUGCUCGGUUGUGCCUUUCCGUCACGUGAAGCGGAAGGGCAUAAGGCCGAAGGACAAGCUCUGGAAUUAGACCGGCACGAUUGAAAAUCUGCCUGCGACGUCCGCCUCGGCAUCGCGGAGGUGACAGCGGUCUGGCUCCCAGCAGGGAGAGGACUUAACGAGCUAAUCACAGGUGGUCUGCGAAACGUGUGUCGAAGAAGCGUGAGAAGAAGUUACAAGGCCUGGCUACUGUGACUGCAGCCAUUCACAAACCGAAGUGCUUUUAGGCCGCUUCAAUUACACGAGGCGCGAUUAAAAAAUAAUGCAGUGAAUGCGCUAAAAGAUUAUUCAUAGGAGAGUAGAACAUUAAUCCUCAGUAACAGUGUGUGACAAGUUUAAACUUGUUCGUGCCGUCAGUUGUGAGCUAUGGUGGAGAGAAGGUGCGCGAACCGAGUUUGUACCCAGACACACUACAGUGAGCUCUCAGUACUAUAAGGGCGCAGCAGAGCAUUGGUGAAAAGGUGGGCACAGAAAACCGCCCGAGAAAUGGGCCUGCACUGUGUCACAGGAUGUUUCCGGUACCGCGGUUUCUGGCAAAUAAAAACAUGACUCCAUGUCCUCAUUCACCAGGUUCAGUGGAUCCGGCACUUCGAAAUCCCAAAGUGGUGAUGAGCAUGAAAGAAAGGUUUUGCAUUAACUCAGGAUAUCCAGGCAGCCACUGCAGAACAACCACAGACCCUCAGGAGAGAGGACUCCGGAGCUGCUUCAGAGAGCAGGAAGGACAACGGGAUAGGAAGAAGAGGGGAUGUCAGAGUGUCCUUCUGCACCUGCUGUUUUCCAGGUGCCUCGAGCUCAAACUAAACCUUAAACCAAAGCAGCAGAUCUCAGGGCAGCCUGUCCUGAACUCUUCAGAGGGAGUUUCACUACCUGGAGCCGGGAGUGGUGGUACGUGGUGACAAUCCCAGACUCAGAAAAGUCACUGAAUUCAGGGCCAGCCGGGGCUGCAUGAUGAGACCCUGUCUCACAAAAACAAACAAACAAAAGGAGUUCACCUGCCUCAAAAAUACCCUGUGUUGCAUCUGUUCAUCUCUCCCUGCCUGGAAACCACUGAGCUUUCUGUUGUCAUACUAAUGCCUUUUCCAGAAUGCCACACAGCUGAAACCAUGAUGCAUGUAGCUUUUCAGUUUGGCUUCUCUCAUUUAACCAUGUGCAUUUACUGUUCUUCUGUGUCUUUGUGUGGCCUGGAAGCUGCUUCCUUUACGUUGCCGAGUGAUAUUUCACUGGCGGGUGUAACACAGUUUGUUUAAGCAUCACCCAUGCAAGACAACUUGGUUGCCACUAAUCUGGGGCAAUAGAUAAUAAGGUCCCUAUAUUGUGAUUAGGUUUUUGUGUAUGUAUAAGUUUUCAACUAUUUGGGGAAAUAAGGAGCACAACUGGGGUACUGUCAUAAGGUCAUGUUUAUCUAGGCUUUGUGGUAUACACAUACAAUCCUAGCACUCUGGAAGGCUGAGGCAGGAAGAGCCAAAGUCCAAGCCCACCUGUGCAACUUACUGACUUAGUGAGAUCCAAUCUCAGAAUAAAAUUUUAAAAGGGCCAGAGGUAUCACACAGUGUGAAGGUUCCAGGUUCAGUCCCUAGUGUCACCUCCAAAACCAUACAUUUCCUGCACUGUUGAUAUAGGGGGAAUAAAUGUAACUCCCAAGCCUAUUAGAUGUUUGAUACACUGAGUCUGCGUUCUCCAAAACUGGAGAAUGGGUUCUGAGGAACAGUGGAAGUUAAGAGUAGAGAAUUUUACUGAGAGAGAAACCGCUCCUGAGAGGGACAGGAGGGCUCCUAGAAAAUGGGUUGUGGAUUCCACUUACAGGAGAGAUUUUAUAGAGCAAAAUCAAGGGGUGGGCACAAAACUGUGUUCAACCAAUAGGAUUACAGGAUUGUAGUUAUUUAGAUAAUAUUGAUCCAAUGGGGAAGCAGGUCAUGUAGCAAACACCCGCGGAUGGCAUCAUUCACCUUGACCCAUAAUCCAUAGUUUUAGUCUUAGCUGCACUCAUAGUGGGUAGGAAAAGGUGGCCCACCCUUAACGCGAUAAUGGUUCAUUCAUGGAUCUCAGAAGGGUGGCACUGAAGCCUUUGUGUAUCCCUCACAGGCAUGUAGGUCUUUCUUUCAUCUUUACCUUGAGGCCUGACCUUCAGUGGGCAGUUGUGAUGUGUUCUGGUCUUCUGCACCGACUCCGGAGGGCCCAGCCCUGUCAGACGGCCUAUAUUCUUUCCACCUAACUUGGCUCUUUAUAUCCCCGUCAUUUCUACAACAGCCCCUGAUGGUAUCCGUCAGCCUUUCCGGGUGAGAGUGUGCACAAAGGAGUCAGGAAAGGGGACUGCGAUGCACCCAGGGGGCUGUGGAGGCGGCUGAUGCAGCAAUCAACACCCCUAUCCCCCAGGACCAGCAAUUCCCAACCUUUUCUGUUGCUUUUGCUACUGGCCCCUCUGGAGUGUGUUAGAUGUGUUCUUCUCACCGGCAGGCUCCCCACGACAUUUUAACGUGGCAGUUCCAGAAGGAUUCACACCAGGUCCCGCGUUCCAGCGCUGCCACCCUGAGGACUAGGCCUCCACACAGAGACCUGGGGAGACAAUACAUCCAAUCACGCCACAGGAAGUCAUCUCGGCUCCGUGCAUAAAAGAGAAACUGUUCUCAUUUCUUGGAGGGUGAUCGUGCGCGCUAGACUGAACGCUGCCGGAGAAGUGAAGAGUUGCUGCGGGACCCCUCCUCUCAAUGUGCUAAUCCAAUCCCACUUUGCCUAGUGCUUUCAACACAGUGCUAUACUAAAUGUUUGCUGGAUUGCAAGUAACUGGGCAAGGGCGAGGGAUGGGGGAUGAGCGGUGUGACGCCAUCGCCGGACCGGAAAGAGCCGGAGGGCGCAGGUGCAAGAAGAACGCAGCAAACACUGAAACGCUGGCUUUGUCCACCCUCAUCCUUGCCCGGCCUCGACGACACCCACUCCUGCCGUAUUCUAGACGUUCAGCGGGCGUAUUUGGAGGGGAAACCAAUUCAUUCUUCAGAAUGACUGCUUGACAUACACACGUUAAGGCUGUCUGGUCAUCUGAAAAUUAAGGAAUUUAUUUGGAUUCGUUCCAUUAGGGAAGAACCGUGUUCUCUUAUUUUCAACAUAUAAAACAUUUGCUCCAGUUUACCAGAAUUCUGAAGAUUAAAUGUCUGGAGCCCCUCUUGCUUUAUUUCUGCACCACCCAGAAGAAAGGAGUGAAUCCUUUGCUGUGGGCCCAAAAAGAGCAGAGCAAGUUCCAGGGAGCAAAGUACCCUUAUUCUCACAGUGUUUUGAUUCUCCGGCUUGUCUGCGUUCUGGAGUAUAAAUUGCCCAAAGGCAGGGGAUGUGUAGGCCCAGCUGAAAUCAAGAAGAUAAACACUCAUUAAAUGCAUGCAUAAAUUAUCCCAGAUCCCUGCCCCUCAGGGCUGGCAAUCUACUAGGCCACAGGUUUUUCUCAGUUUUUCUGUUUGUUAGUCCAUGUCUGCGGUGCGUGAUGGUCACAGUUCCUCCUGGGAGUUGGUGCUCGUAAGUAACACAGCUCAGCUCUUUCCCUCAGCCCCUUGUCUCCCGCCCUCCUUUCAUCCCUCAGUCCCCUCUCCUUUUGCAAAAGAUUUCUGUCCUCGU